GUCGGGAUAGCCAAGUGGUCUAAGGCGGCAGGUUGCUAACCUGCUUCCCCUUACGGGGAUCGAGGGUUCGAAUCCCUCUCCCGGCG
rnacentral:tRNA from 1 species